GUCUUAAAGUAAUAAUUUUAAGUCUAAUCUGCCCACUGAAUUAAAUUUAAAGGGCCGCAGUAUAAUUGUGCAAAGGUAGCAUAAUAAUUAGUCUUUUAAUUGAAGACUAGAAUGAAUGAUUGGACGAAAUAUAAACUGUUUCAGAUUUAAAUAUAAAAUUUAUUUUUUUAGUGAAAAAACUGAAAUUUAUUAAAAAGACGAGAAGACCCUAUAGAUCUUAAUAAAUUUAUUAUAUAUAAUAAAUUAUUUUAAAUAAUUAAUAUAUAUAAAUUUAUUUAAUUGGGGUGAUUUAAAAAUUUAAUUAACUUUUAUUAAAAAUUACAGUAAUUAUUGAAUUAUUUAUUAUAAUCUAUUUUUAUAAAAAAAGAUAAAGAUACCUUAGGGAUAACAGCGUAAUUUUAAUUUUAAGUUCUUAUUAAAAUUAAGUAUUGCGACCUCGAUGUUGGAUUAAAAUUUAUUUUAAAUGCAGGUGUUUAAUAAUUAGGUCUGUUCGACCUUUAAAAUUUUU
rnacentral:rRNA from 1 species